rnacentral:tRNA from 2 species
GUCUGCGUAGCUCAGCUGGAUAGAGCGACCGCCUCCUAAGCGGUAGGUCAGAGGUUCAAAUCCUCCCGUGGACGCCA